rnacentral:rRNA from 1 species
UACGAAGGGGGCUAGCGUUGUUCGGAAUUACUGGGCGUAAAGGGCGCGUAGGCGGCGUGUCAAGUCAGGCGUGAAAGCCCCGGGCUCAACCUGGGAACCGCGCUUGAGACUGGCAUGCUCGAGUUCGGGAGAGGAUGGUGGAAUUCCCAGUGUAGAGGUGAAAUUCGUAGAUAUUGGGGAAGAACACCGAUGGCGAAGGCAGCCAUCUGGACCGACACUGACGCUGAGGCGCGAAAGCGGUGGGGAGCAAACAGG